GAAACCGCAGCACUGUGGACUGGAGCCCGAAGUGUUCUCACACAUCUGCUGUUACUGGGGCGGCCACCAUUAGGCAGUGGAAACUAAUGGGGAUGCUGGUGAGAAGACGGAGUAAGUGCAUUUAAUCACUGCGUCCUUUUACCUGUACCGCUACCGGUCAACUGGGACGAUCCCUCAAAUUCAUGACACUCACAUAGGACAGUCAACGGGAGCUAACAUUUCAGGAAAUAGAGAUAACCAGGUUUGGGUUAGAGAUCAUCUACACAUUGGGAAGUCACAGCUGGGAAAAACGAGCAUCAAUAAGAAGGUAAGACACAAAACAGUUUUCAAACCAGUUCUGAAGAACUGGCCUACUUAAUGCAGUCUUUCCAAACCAAAGGUGACUACAUUUCUCACUCUUUCUCUUGCUGAUAACGUCAUGAAUUAAUUUUCCACUUUGCCUUUAAUCUUAACUCACAAGGACUAAAACAAAAAGUUGUUUUAUGCACUGGGUAAUUUUUUGCAAACAGUAUUUGAGAAAAUCUAACUAGAGCAAACCCUAUCUCAGCUUCCUCUGGCACGCAUCUAUCUUUUUUUCGGUUUCAUUUCCUUAAAGGAAAUAGACUCAUUCUGCUCUGAGACCUUUUAUUCCUCCUGGGCGUAUAUGCCACAGAAAAGUAAUUAAUAUGUAAUCACAGACUAAUUAAAUAUGUUCUUUUAUGUUUUGCAUUUAUA
rnacentral:lncRNA from 1 species